UCCUAUUACAGUUUUCUUUAGUUGUAAUUUCAUUAACCAAAAGAAUUCAGAACAUUAAGCUUAAUACAAAGCAUAUUAACACAGAUCUAGUAAAGUUGCCUCUUUUUUUUCAAGAUAGAAAUUAUAGUAAUAUAUUUGUCCUAAAGAAACUCCAUCUCUUUACACCUGUAAGCACAGUUUUCCUCAACAAUUUAUCUUGAAUUCCAAUAACUAAGUAUAUUUACCUUUGUUGUAUUCUGCUCUCCAAGGUGAUUUGAACUGUUGAAAACACAACUCGUAGGCAAAGAACGAGGUUGUAAACGGGUUUACUUUUCAUUUCUUGGAGCAGUCACACACGAACGUUAUUGACAAACUUAAAGUCGGCGUUGGGAGCGGCUGCCUCCCAACGCUCUUUAUACAAACUCAAAAUAAGCCGGGUGCACUAUUAGCCAAUCGGCGUUGCUUCCGGGUACCGCCCUUUUUUGGGACGGCGGCCGGUGACAGCUCCCUACGCUGCUCCGGCUGCGGGGUGACCAUCUGCCUUCGAGUAUGGGACUAACACCAGCCACCUGCCCUUCACCAACGUGCACAGCUAAGGUUAUUAGUCACAUCCCCCCACUACCACCAGACAUCAUUGCAGCAGCCUGCUUCUUGGAUUCCUUCGUUUGUCAGGGUGUCCCCAUUUCAGCAACGAAUCUGCAGAGACUCCCCUCCCCACACUAUGUCGAGACAGCUUGACUCUUGACAGGCGGCCCCCUCUACCAGGAGUCCACCUGUAAAACACGAAAGAGAUAGGUUAGAUUGUGGGACCCGGUUUGUGGGGGGUUGUUUUUGUGAUAAUGCUUCAAUAGCUUAGGAGCUUUUAGGUCCAUGUCUGCCACCCAGGAGGCCUCAGCUAAAGGAUAUCCCUUCCACUUCACCAGAUAUUGAAGCUCACCCUUACGGAUCUGGGAAUCAAGAAUGCCAUCUAAUUCGUAGUGAUCGUUCACUACAGGACCUGGACCCUGUGUACCCCCUCCGUUUGCUAUAGGUUUCAAAAAACUACAGUGAAAAGUGGGGUGAAUUUUUCCCAAAUGUGGUAAUUUCAGGAUUACCGUAACUGGAUUGAUUACCCUUUGGAUCCUGAAUGGGCCCAGAUAUUGGGGUCCAAGUUUUUUACACGGGGUUUUCAACUUUAUAUACUUAGUAGACAGGUAAAUGAGAUCCCCUAUUUGAAAUGGUUUAUGGUCAGCUCGUUUCUUGUCCGCUUGCACUUUAUACUCAUUAGUCGCCUUGUUUAGGGCUGCUUUUAUCUGCGGCCACACUACUUAUAUUGGUGCUCCAUUCAGCUGGAGCUGGGGUUAUUUGUCCCGGAAUCGGAUCAUUUAAUUCGGGAAUAGCAUUGAACUCCUUUCCAGUGACAAUUUUGAAGGGAGAUGCUCCGGUACUUCGAUGCAGGGUGUUGUUGUAUGCUACUUCAGCAAACGAUAACAGGUCUGACCAAUCGUAUUGUUGAUAGGACACGUAGCACUGUAAGUAACGCUCUACCAUUGCGUUUGCUCGUUCUGCUGCGCCAUUAGUACUGGGAUGGUAGGCUAUACUCAGUCCUUGAGAAAAGCCAAUCAGGGUUAUGAAGUUACGCCAGAACCGUGCCGUAAAUUGAACCCCCCUAUCCUAGAUGAUACAUUGUGGAACCCCAUGUAGCCAAUACAUGUGUUGGACAAACAUCUUUGAGAGUUUCUGGGCUGAAGGUAAUCCUUUACAUGGAACAAAGUGCGCUUGCUUGGAAAAAAGAUCGUCAGUGGUCCAAAUUACGGUAUUUCCAUCACUCUCCGGAAGCUCCACGAUAAAAUCCAUAGCGAUUUCCUCCCAAGGGCCUGUAGGAUUGGCUACAGGCUGUAAGAGACCCAAGGGUCGACCGGGCUUUGGUUUAGUCAUUGCACAUAUAGAACACUCUCUAACAUUGUUUAAUAUCCUUGUGCAUUUGAGGCCACCAGAAUUGCCGCCUAGUUAGAUGUAGAGUUUUAAGGAACCCGAAAUGACCACCCAAUUUUGAGUCGUGACAACGCCGUAAUAUUGAUCGGUGUAAAGCCCCCGGCACAUAAAUCCGAGACCCCAUCCAAGCCAACCCAUUGCGGUGUGUCAAUAUGGAUUUGUGAGUUUGGGCCCAUGAGUCUUUCGCUCUUUCACUACGCAGAUCCUCUUGCCAUACGUUGUCCUUAGCCUGUAAGGAGGGUUCGGCUGGGGUUUUAGGUAUCAUCGCUUGGACAAUAUCCUCUCUUUUGCUAUGAAAUUGGGGCAUACGUGACAAGGCAUCUGCUAGGAAGUUUUUCCCUCCUGGUACAUAUUUCAGGUCGAAGUUGAAUCGUUGGAAAUACUGUGCCCAGCGCACCUGUUUGGGGGACAGUUUUCUGGGCGUCUGGAGAGCCUGUAGGUUUUUAUGGUCCGUCCAUACUUCAAAUUUGGUGCCACUCCCCUCCAAGAGAUGCCGCCACGUUCGGUAACGUGUUUGGAUGGAGACCCGCCUAACACCAACCCAUCCAUCUGCUCAAAACGUAUAGGGGUUUUCAACUGCACUUUGCGUAGUCCCAGGUCAUCGACUAUUGCUCUGCUCAUUAAACAUCGAGUGCACCCUGAAUCUA